rnacentral:misc_RNA from 1 species
AAGUCGUAACAAGGUCUCCGUUGGUGAACCAGCGGAGGGAUCAUUACCGAGUUUACACUCAUAACCCUUUGUGAACAUUAUAACUUGUUGCUUCGGCGGCUUCUGCCCUUCGGGGUGCUGCCCGCCGGCAGUUUCAGUAUCUCUGUUUGUACCCGACGAUACAUCUGAGUGUUCUUAGCGAACUAUAAAAACUUUUAACAACGGAUCUCUUGGUUCUA